rnacentral:rRNA from 1 species
UACGUAGGGUGCAAGCGUAAUCGGAAUUACUGGGCGUAAAGCGUGCGCAGGCGGUGAUGUAAGACAGGUGUGAAAUCCCCGGGCUUAACCUGGGAACUGCAUUUGUGACUGCAUCGCUGGAGUGCGGCAGAGGGGGAUGGAAUUCCGCGUGUAGCAGUGAAAUGCGUAGAUAUGCGGAGGAACACCGAUGGCGAAGGCAAUCCCCUGGGCCUGCACUGACGCUCAUGCACGAAAGCGUGGGGAGCAAACAGG